UCUGGUUGAUCCUGCCAGUAGUUAUAUGCUUGUCUCAAAGAUUAAGCCAUGCAUGUCUAAGUACACACGAAUUAAAAGUGAAACCGCAAAAGGCUCAUUAUAUCAGUUAUGGUUCCUUAGAUCGUUAACAGUUACUUGGAUAACUGUGGUAAUUCUAGAGCUAAUACAUGCAAUUAAAACACGGACCUUUUGGAACGUGUGCUUUUAUUAGGCUAAAACCAAGCGAUCGCUAGAUCGUUACAUUGGUUGAACUCUAGAUAACAUGCAGAUCGUAUGGUCUUGUACCGACGACAGAUCUUUCAAAUGUCUGCCCUAUCAACUUUUGAUGGUAGUAUCUAGGACUACCAUGGUUGCAACGGGUAACGGGGAAUCAGGGUUCGAUUCCGGAGAGGGAGCCUGAGAAACGGCUACCACAUCUAAGGAAGGCAGCAGGCGUGUAAAUUACCCACUCCCAGCUCGGGGAGGUAGUGACGAAAAAUAACAAUACAGGACUCAUAUCCGAGGCCCUGUAAUUGGAAUGAGUACACUUUAAAUCCUUUAACAAGGACCUAUUGGAGGGCAAGUCUGGUGCCAGCAGCCGCGGUAAUUCCAGCUCCAAAAGCGUAUAUUAAAGUUGUUGCGGUUAAAACGUUCGUAGUUGAACUUGUGCUUCAUACGGGUAGUACAACUUACAAUUGUGGUUAGUACUAUACCUUUAUGUAUGUAAGCGUAUUACCGGUGGAGUUCUUAUAUUUAAUUAAGUACUUGUACUUUUUUACGUAUUCCUCCUAUUUAAAAACCUGCAUUAGUGCUCUUCAUCGAGUGUUAUUGUGGGCCGGUACAAUUACUUUGAACAAAUUAGAGUGCUUAAAGCAGGCUUCAAAUGCCUGAAUAUUCUGUGCAUGGGAUAAUGAAAUAAGACCUCUGUUCUGCUUUCAUUGGUUUUCAGAUCAAGAGGUAAUGAUUAAUAGAAGCAGUUUGGGGGCAUUAGUAUUACGACGCGAGAGGUGAAAUUCUUGGACCGUCGUAAGACUAACUUAAGCGAAAGCAUUUGCCAAAGAUGUUUUCAUUAAUCAAGAACGAAAGUUAGAGGUUCGAAGGCGAUCAGAUACCGCCCUAGUUCUAACCAUAACGAUGCCAGCUAGCAAUUGGGUGUAGCUACUUUUAUGGCUCUCUCAGUCGCUUCCCGGGAAACCAAAGCUUUUGGGCUCCGGGGGAAGUAUGGUUGCAAAGCUGAAACUUAAAGGAAUUGACGGAUAAUAUAAAGAUUGGUGGUAGCCUUUGGUAAAAAUGUCAGAUUUAUAGAAUCGGUGUCAAAAAACCUAUAUAGUGGAGUGGUGUCGCGCAAGGCAAGUCAUAUGAAAAAAAAAUUUAAAAAGUAAUUUCAUAUGAUUGUGGAGUGUUGCCUUGCCGGCAUAGAUUAUAUAUGUAUGGGGCAAAGAAUAAUGAAGUUAUAUGAAUGUAUUAUUAAAUUAGUACAUGAUAAUAUAAAGGUUGGUGGUAGCCUUUGGUAAAAAUGUCAGAUUUAUAGAAUUGGUGUCAAAAAACCUAUAUAGUGGAGUGGUGUCGCGCAAGGCAAGUCAUAUGAAAAAAAAUUUAAAAAGUAAUUUCAUAUGAUUGUGGAGUGUUGCCUUGCCGGCAUAGAUUAUAUAUGUAUGGGGCAAAGAAUAAUGAAGUUAUAUGAAUGUAUUAUUAAAUUAGUACAUGAUAAUAUAAAGGUUGGUGGUAGCCUUUGGUAAAAAUGUCAGAUUUAUAGAAU
rnacentral:rRNA from 1 species